UCGGGAAUUUUGGGCAAUGGGCGAAAGCCUGACCCAGCAACGCCGCGUGAGGGAUGAAGUAUUUCGGUAUGUAAACCUCGAAAGAAUGGGAAGAAUAAAUGACGGUACCAUUUAUAAGCUCCGGCUAACUACGUGCCAGCAGCCGCGGUAAUACGUAGGGAGCAAGCGUUGUUCGGAUUUACUGGGCGUAAAGGGCGCGUAGGCGGCGCGGUAAGUCACUUGUGAAAUAUCUGAGCUUAACUCAGAACGGCCAAGUGAUACUGCUGUGCUAGAGUGAUGAAGAGGGAACAGGAAAUUGUGGUGUAGCUGUGAAAUGCGAAGAUAUCAAGAGGAACACCUGAGGCGAAGGCGGGUUGCGGGGCCGACACUGACGCUGAUGCGCGAAAGCCAGGGGAGCAAAC
rnacentral:rRNA from 1 species